rnacentral:rRNA from 1 species
CCUACGGGAGGCAGCAGUGGGGAAUUUUGGACAAUGGACGCAAGUCUGAUCCAGCCAUGCCGCGUGCGGGAAGAAGGCCUUCGGGUUGUAAACCGCUUUUGUCAGGGAAGAAACGGGUUUCUCUAAUACAGAGACCUAAUGACGGUACCUGAAGAAUAAGCACCGGCUAACUACGUGCCAGCAGCCGCGGUAAUACGUAGGGUGCAAGCGUUAAUCGGAAUUACUGGGCGUAAAGCGUGCGCAGGCGGUUAUGCAAGACAGAGGUGAAAUCCCCGGGCUCAACCUGGGAACUGCCUUUGUGACUGCAUAGCUAGAGUACGGUAGAGGGGGAUGGAAUUCCGCGUGUAGCAGUGAAAUGCGUAGAUAUGCGGAGGAACACCGAUGGCGAAGGCAAUCCCCUGGACCUGUACUGACGCUCAUGCACGAAAGCGUGGGGAGCAAACAGGAUUAGAUACCCUGGUAGUCCACGCCCUAAACGAUGUCAACUGGUUGUUGGGAGGGUUUCUCUCAGUAACGAAGCUAACGCGUGAAGUUGACCGCCUGGGGAGUACGGCCGCAAGGUUGAAAACUCGAAAAGUAGUAAGUGGACGUCGAGGACGUGCGACGAGGACACGACGGAGGUUAG